rnacentral:tRNA from 1 species
CGCUAAGAAGCUAAGCAGGGCCUAGCGUUAGCCUUUUAAGCUAAAAAAUGGUGACUCCCGACCACCCUUAGUGA